AUGGUGAGGAGUGGAGGCGGCGGUUCUGAAUUUGAAGAUGGUGCUGUGAGGAGUAGCGGGAGGAGCAGUCGCCGACGGCCUGGCUGCAUGGGGUACGCCCUCCCCUUCAUCUCCUACGGCAUCGUGGACAUCCUGCUCGACGACGUACAUCUGCUCGAGGACAUCAUGCUCGAUGAUGCUCCUCUUCGCCAGCAUCUCUGGCGCGUGAUAGGAGGAGAGUUCUUGUACUCACAGCAGCUGUUGAUCUGCAACAACUCUAGGAGUGGGAUUGACAUUGUCAUUGUGGUUUCAGUAGAAAUGACCUUCUUUUCAGGUGUGAAACCAAUAAAUGAGACGACUAAGUAG
rnacentral:rRNA from 1 species